rnacentral:misc_RNA from 1 species
AUAUCCGUGUGAACAAAUGUAGCUAUGUAGUCGCGUGUGAUAACGUGGUUGGUAAUCAAUCGGUAUAGUUUUCUAUGAUUUAUCAUCGGUAGAUUCGGAUUUAUUUUAACAUUAUUAUUAUUGUUAUUAUUAUAAUUAUCGUAAUAUAUUAGCGUCCUCUUGCCCACCGUUUUUUUUCUUUUUUUCGUCGAGGUGUUACGUCCGGACCUCAGUCCACACGGUCGUGACAGAGGGAUGUUUCAAGUUCACCGGACUUUUCACUUUCGGUUGAUUUGAAUUCUUGGAUCUUCUCUAGUUUUCAGUUUUCCUCCUUUUUUUUUUUUCGUUUCCUAGAUUUCUCUUUCUAUCGUUUUUCUGUUCUCUAAUUUCUUUGCUUUUUCGCUUCGGUUUGUUCGUUUGUUUGUUUGUUUUUUUUUUUUUUUUU